UCCAUCUAGAGGAAGACCUCAAACAUGCUUCUCUCCAGCCUUCUGAAGGUGGUCAUGACUUCAUUGUGGCUAGGAUCCAGUAUUGCCCAGAAGGUAACUCAAGACCAACCAGUAAUAUUAGUGCAGGAGAAGGAGGUUGUGACCCUGGAUUGCAUAUAUGACACAAAUGAGUUCACUUAUAGUCUAUACUGGUACAAGCAGCCCAGCAGUGGGGCGAUGAUUCUCCUUAUUCGUCAGGACUCUUAUAACCAGCAAAAUGCAACAGAAGGUCGCUACUCACUGAAUUUCCAGAAGGCAAACAAAUCCAUCAAACUUGCCAUCUCAGCUUCACAGCUGGAGGACUCUGCAGUGUACUUCUGUGCACUGAGUGAGCGCACAAUGAGAGGCGUGUUGGAGGCAGCCAAUGACUCAGGCUUCACUGGGGAGUGUGUGGCUAAAGCCUGCUGGAUGCGGAAGUUUGCUGAGGUGCCAGAGAACAAGGUUGACAGGCAGAAGAACACCUCCCAGGGUUCCAACACAAUUUAUAGGAAGCUGGCAAGGGAGUGCUGCUGA